GUGCCAGCCGCCGCGGUAAUACCAGCCCCGCGAGUGGUCGGGACUCUUGCUGGGCCUAAAGCGCCCGUAGCCGGCCCGGUAAGUCCCUCCUUAAAGCCCCGGGCUCAACCCGGGGAGCGGGGGGAUACUGCCGGGCUAGGGGGCGGGAGAGGCCGGGGGUACCCCAGGGGUAGGGGCGAAAUCCGAUAAUCCCUGGGGGACCACCAGUGGCGAAGGCGCCCGGCUGGAACGCGCCCGACGGUGAGGGGCGAAAGCCGGGGGAGCGAACCGGAUUAGAUACCCGGGUAGUCCCGGCUGUAAACUAUGCGGGCCAGGUGUCGGGCGGGCGUUAGAGCCCGCCCGGUGCCGCAGGGAAGCCGUUAAGCCCGCCGCCUGGGGAGUACGGCCGCAAGGCUGAAACUUAAAGGAAUUGGCGGGGGGGCACCACAAGGGGUGAAGCUUGCGGCUUAAUUGGAGUCAACGCCGGAAACCUUACCCGGGGCGACAGCAGGAUGAUGGCCAGGCUAACGACCUUGCCGGACGAGCUGAGAGGAGGUGCAUGGCCGUCGUCAGCUCGUGCCGUGAGGUGUCCGGUUAAGUCCGGCAACGAGCGAGACCCCCACCCCUAGUUGCUACCCGAUCCUUCGGGAUCGGGGGCACACUAGGGGGACUGCCGGCGUAAGCCGGAGGAAGGAGGGGGCCACGGCAGGUCAGCAUGCCCCGAAACCCCCGGGCCGCACGCGGGCUACAAUGGCAGGGACAGCGGGAUCCUGCCCCGAGAGGGGUGGGCAAUCCCUAAACCCUGCCUCAGUUGGGAUCGAGGGCUGCAACUCGCCCUCGUGAACGAGGAAUCCCUAGUAACCGCAGGUCACCAACCUGCGGUGAAUACGUCCCUGCUCCUUGCACACACCGCCCGUC
rnacentral:rRNA from 1 species